UUUUUAUUAUUGUUGCAACUGCUUUUGGCAUCUUUGUCUCAAAGUCUUUGCCAGGUCCUAUGUCCAGGAUAGUAUUCCCUAGGUUAUCUUUCAGGGGUUUUAUUGGUUUUUUUAUUUUAGAUUUAAGUUUUUAACCCAUCUAAGUUGAUUUUUGUACAUGGUGUAACGAAGGGGUCCAGCUCUACUCUUCUGUAUAUGGCUUGUCAGUUAUCCCAGCACCAUUUACUGAAUAGGAAGUCUUUUCCCAUUGCUUGUUUUUUUAACUCUGGGAAAGAU